GCACAUCUAGGGCCUUUUGUG
rnacentral:siRNA from 1 species